UACGUAGGGUGCAAGCGUUAAUCGGAAUUACUGGGCGUAAAGCGUGCGCAGGCGGUCUUGCAAGACAGAUGUGAAAUCCCCGGGCUCAACCUGGGAACUGCAUUUGUGACUGCGAGGCUGGAGUACGGUAGAGGGGGAUGGAAUUCCGCGUGUAGCAGUGAAAUGCGUAGAUAUGCGGAGGAACACCGAUGGCGAAGGCAAUCCCCUGGACCUGUACUGGCGCUCAUGCACGAAAGCGUGGGGAGCAAACAGG
rnacentral:rRNA from 1 species